rnacentral:lncRNA from 1 species
UGCUUGUGAAAUGCAUGUCCCGGAUAAUGACGCCGCGUCAUUUUUCUUUCUGCCGUUUUCAGAAUCACUCGCCGUUUCUCGCGGAAACUACAGCAUUGCGCCGGCAAAUUUCGUACAGCCGAUAGCCAGAGUUGGCGGGGAAGAAAGUUAUGACGUCACAUUCGCCGAAGCCAGCGUGGACACCGCAGACUAUGCGGACCUCUACACCAGCCAGAACACUUCCGGGGAAGCUCCGGAGACAACGCCUGAAAACAGUCGAUUGUCGAAUGUAUUGUCCUUGAUUUGACGCAACCAGUUUGUUAUCUAACAUUUUCGGUGCUUUUACUGCUGAAAUUUCAAACUGCUUCUUGGUUGACAGUAUUUCGUCAGUAUCUGCGCCUUUAUACGUGAUGUGUAAUAUUGGAGCUGCAGAAAUAAGAUUUGGAGUUUUGCAUCCUUGACACUGUUGCCGCCUUGGUCAAUCGUUAUCAUCCACGGUAUAUACGUUUAAAAAGCGCAUUGAAAUUGAAACACAGUUUUUUUUUUAAAUCAUGUUUGCUUAUAUCUUCGUCCCUGGGCCCCGAUUUCUGGGAGGCACGCGUCCAAUUCUAGGCUUAAUGACAAUAUGCGGCAAUCAAUUUUAACCGUACUUUCUUUCAUCGACAUUCCACCUGCUAUAGGCAAAGCACCGGCCACGGUGGCCCUGUGCGGCAGAACACUUAUAGAUAUAUAGUGCCCUGCCGCUGCGGAUAUCCUAUGACAACAGCAGCUCUCUGAAAGCUCCAAUAGGGACGUUUCCUUGCUCGCACUAUUUCGCGUUGCCAUUGCCGUGCCCGC